GCCUGGGUGGCUCAGUCGGUUGAGCGUCCGACUUCGGCUCAGGUCAUAUUCUCAUGUUCGUGGGUUCGAGCCCCAUGUCCGGCU
rnacentral:tRNA from 1 species